rnacentral:ncRNA from 1 species
UAUUCUCAGGGCGGGGUGUAAGUCCCCACCGGCGGUAAACCAUACACCACGGCUAUCAAUGGCCGGUAUGGAAGCCCGCGAGCGCUUGCGGCUUUCACAGCGUAAGGACAGCAGAUCCGGUGUAAUUCCGGGGCCGACGGUUAUAGUCCGGAUGGGAGAGAGU